rnacentral:rRNA from 1 species
GUAGGGUGGGCAAGCGUUGUCCGGAAUUAUUGGGCGUAAAGCGCGCGCAGGCGGUCCUUUAAGUCUGAUGUGAAAGCCCACGGCUCAACCGUGGAGGGUCAUUGGAAACUGGGGGACUUGAGUACAGAAGAGGAAAGCGGAAUUCCAAGUGUAGCGGUGAAAUGCGUAGAGAUUUGGAGGAACACCAGUGGCGAAGGCGGCUUUCUGGUCUGUAACUAACGCUGAGGCGCGAAAGCGUGGGGAGCAAACAGGAUUAGAUACCCUGGUAGUCCACGCCGUAAACGAUGAGUGCUAAGUGUUAGGGGGUUUCCGCCCCUUAGUGCUGCAGCUAACGCAUUAAGCACUCCGCCUGGGGAGUACGGCCGCAAGGCUG